rnacentral:tRNA from 1 species
GUUUUGAUAAUUUAUAAUAAAAUAUUAAUUUUGUAAAUUAAAAUAAAGUUUAAUUUCUUUCAAAACU